rnacentral:snoRNA from 1 species
CCCCUUCUCUAAGCACUCGCCGGGUCCCCGCCGUGGCCCGGGGAGCUGUCGUGGAAGGGCAGAGCCAAGGCGCCGCUUUGGGGUGAAGUUGGCAGCUGCUGGUGCUGCUGGCUUCAAUCCGCGGUGGGACAGAG